rnacentral:rRNA from 1 species
AGUGAACGCUGGCGGUAGGCCUAACACAUGCAAGUCGAACGGCAGCACAGUAAGAGCUUGCUCUUACGGGUGGCGAGUGGCGGACGGGUGAGGAAUACAUCGGAAUCUACUUUUUCGUGGGGGAUAACGUAGGGAAACUUACGCUAAUACCGCAUACGACCUACGGGUGAAAGCAGGGGAUCUUCGGACCUUGCGCGAUUGAAUGAGCCGAUGUCGGAUUAGCUAGUUGGCGGGGUAAAGGCCCACCAAGGCGACGAUCCGUAGCUGGUCUGAGAGGAUGAUCAGCCACACUGGAACUGAGACACGGUCCAGACUCCUACGGGAGGCAGCAGCGGGGAAUAUUGGACAAUGGGCGCAAGCCUGAUCCAGCCAUACUGCGUGGGUGAAGAAGGCCUUCGGGUUGUAAAGCCCUUUUGUUGGGAAAGAAAAGCAGCAGGUUAAUACCCCGCUGUUCUGACGGUACCCAAAGAAUAAGCACCGGCUAACUUCGUG